rnacentral:tmRNA from 1 species
GGGGGCGACCUGGCUUCGACGUGGGUUGCGAAACCCGAGGUGCAUGCCGAGGGGCAGAUGACCUCGUAAAUCCAGCUGCAAAACCUAUAGUUGCCAACGACGACAACUACGCACUCGCCGCUUAAAACCCGGUAGGGUGCCGUCUGACUGAAGCCGUGCUUGUGCGUUCAGAGCCCUUUAUGCCCUUUAGGGUGCAAGGGGCAUUCAGGCGUCGACUCUCACAAGAUCGCGAUGAAGCACGUUCGGGGCGGAAUCGUUAAAACCUUACCGAAAUCGCCGGUUGUCUUCCCUGCCCGUCGGGUAGCGGCCGGUUAAAUCAAUAGACGCGGAUAAGCAUGUAGAGCCGAGGGCGGAGAAUUUACGGACGCGGGUUCGAUUCCCGCCGCCUCCACCA